CUACUGCUAUUGGAGUUCGAUUAAGCCAUGCGAGUCUAAGGGGUACUUGUACCCCUGGCAUAAUGCUCAGUAACACGUGGAUAAUCUACCCUUAGGUGGGGCAUAAACCCGGGAAACUGGGGCUAAUACCCCAUAGAUACAGAACGCUGGAAUGCCUCUGUAUUCAAAGCUCCGGCGCCUAAGGAUGAGUCUGCGACCUAUCAGGUAGUAGUCAGGGUCACGACCUGACUAGCCAACGACGGGUACGGGGUGUGAGAGCACUUGCCCGGAGAUGGUUUCUGAGACACGAAACCAGGCCCUACGGGGCGCAGCAGGCGCGAAAACUUCGCAAUGCGGGAAACCGUGACGAGGGAACUCCAAGUGUCUAUGCAAUGCAUAGACUGUUUUUCAGCCUAAAUAGCUGUUAGAGUAAGGGGUGGGUAAGACCGGUGCCAGCCGCCGCGGUAACACCGGCACCCCGAGUGGUAGCCACUAUUAUUGGGCCUAAAGCGUUCGUAGCCGGUUUAGUAAAUUCUUGGGUAAAUCGUACAGCUUAACUGUGCGGAUUCCGGGGACACUACUAGACUUGAGACCGGGAGAGAUUAGAGGUACUUGCAGGGGAGCGGUGAAAUGUUGUAAUCCUGCAGGGACCACCAGUGGCGAAGGCGUCUAAUCAUAACGGCUCUGACGGUGAGGAACGAAACCCUGGGGCGCAAACGGGAUUAGAUACCCCGGUAGUCCAGGGCGUAAACGCUGCUGACUUGGUGUUGGAGAUCCUACGAAGGGUGUCCAGUGCUGGCGCGAAGGUAUUAAGUCAGCC
rnacentral:rRNA from 1 species